UACGUAGGGUGCAAGCGUUGUCCGGAAUUAUUGGGCGUAAAGAGCUCGUAGGCGGCUUGUCGCGUCGGCUGUGAAAACCUGGGGCUCAACCCCGGGCCUGCAGCCGAUACGGGCAGCUAGAAUUCGGUAGGGGAGACGUGGAAUUCCUGGUGUAGCGGUGAAAUGCGCAGAUAUCAGGAGGAACACCGGUGGCGAAGGCGGGUCUCUGGGCCGAAAUUGACGCUGAGGAGCGAAAGCGUGGGGAGCGAACAGG
rnacentral:rRNA from 1 species